GAAACCAAGGGUUACAUUUAACAUUCUCAGGGAGGAUAUUAAUUAAAUCUGAAAAGAAAAUGGGUUUUUAUUUUUCAUUUUUCAGUAAAGAGAGGUAGAUUAUUGUAGAUUAAAGAGGAAUCUAGAGAUGGAAAGGAAAUGUACUGUUUUUGUUCUUCAAAAGAGCUUUUGAUCUAGGAAAAGACCAGGAAGACCAUAGGUCCCUACAGAGAAAGGGGUAACAGGGAAGAAAAAUAGAAAAAGAGGAGACUUGAGCCUCAUGCAUAUCUUUCCUAUUCUUUGAUUUUGCCUAGAGUCUUAAAUGCUCAACAUUUUGUCAGACCUAGUGUUCUUAAUUCAGCCAGGGAGAUCAAUGGGCUAUAUCACUGCCAACAAUCAACAUAGCAGGAUUGUCCCUGCCCACUUCAGCGGCCAUAGCCUCAGACACACAGAGGCACCUUCCCCUAACUCCAACCUUAAAAAAUAUCAUUACUAGUAAAAUUAAACAAACUUUAGUGCUUUAUUUUAAAAUGGAAUACACUAUACAAAUAAAAAUACGUAAAUAUUUGUUUAGAAGGGGAAAAGCGAGAGAAAAAGAUGAGAGUGACUUAGCAGGAGGAUCUAAAGCAGAAGGGAGGUAAAAUGGAGACCAUUCCUUCAAUCUUCAGGGAAAUAAUCUUUUUUUUGGCAGAGAGGCCAAUGUUUUAUUGCUAUUGAGUUUUAAGCUAAUUGGAGUAGGAAUUUUCUCUAUUUCUGCCUUAAGUAAAAAUAAAAAUUGUUGAUGGCAGGAAUGUCUAUGUCUUAAUGUAGAAAUUUUAGUUGCAAAUGUACACCAUCAAAGUAAAGCUAGUUUUGACAUUCCUGAGGAAAGCUGAUGUAUUAGUCAGGAUUCACGGGAGGAACAGAACCAAAGGAAAUAUAUAGGUCUAUAAGAAGGGAUGUGUUAUGGGAAUUGGCUCACACAAUUCUGGAGGCUGAGAAAUCCCACGAUAUGCCGUCUGCAAGUUGGAGAACCAGGAAAGCCAGGAUGUGAUUCAGUCUGAGUAGGAAGGCCUGAGAACCAGAGGAGCCUGUGGUGUAGUUUUCAGUCUGAGGCCGAAGGCCUGAGAGCCAGGAGGGCAGCUAGUGUAAGUCUCAGAGUUCAGAGGACUGAUAACUCAGCAUUCUGAUGUCUUAGGGAAGGAGAAAGUAGUCCCAGCUCCAGCAGAGAGAGCAAAGUUUCCCUUCCUCAGCCUUUUUGUUCUGUCUGAGCCCCUCAAGGGACUGGAUCUGAAUGAUGCUUACCCAUCUGAGGGCAGGUCUUUCUUAUUCAGCCUGCUGAUUCAAAUGCUAAUCUCUUCUGGAAAUACCCUCAAAGACAUACCCAGAAAUAAUCCUUUACCAGCUACCUGGGCAUCUCUUUGCCCAGUCAGGUCGACACAAAGUUAACCUUCACAGCUGUAGAAAGCGACAUUGACUUAUUAUAGCCAGAAUGGUCUCAGGACUUCCUGAGUGUGUGUGACUAACUAACCCUACAGUUAAUGCAAGAACUGCCCCUCAUACAUGUUAGUUACCUUAACAGCCCCUCAUCCAGACCUGUCCAAGCAGCCUUUCUCUGAAUACUUGUUUCAAAGGCAGGCUUCUCAAAGAUGCAGGAAUACCAUUUAAUCUCUAGGUUGAAUAGACAGAAUUCAGUUAACAUUAGAGUAGUGAAUUCAGUUCAAGAAAAUACUUAAGCAGUAAAUUCCACUGAAAUCCUAGGGAAAGUUUGGACAUUGCCACUCCAGAGGGGAUUAGAUUUCACUUGCCUAAUUAACUUGAGGAUGAAGAUAUCAUCAGCAGCCAAGUUCUAAACAAGUACUUGCUCUUUGAUUCAGACCUUUAAAAAUUGUAUAUAUACAUUUCUUCCCCUCAGCAAUCCUUUCUUCAAAACAAGGAGAAGUUUUUUUUAAAGAUACUGCAUUCCAGGCCUACUUAACGAUCUUAUCAUAGCACUAAUUGCUAUGUACUAGUAAUGUAGCAGCUGAAUUUGUUGUUCCCUUCAACUCUGCAGGAAAUGUGAAAGUCUGUAAAAUAGCUGAUGUCUUCAGUAAUCAUCCACAUUCUGGCUAGCACUCAAGUGGACUGGGGAGACCUACUGAGGCAGGCCUAUGUUUGAGUAGGAUCCCUUUUCCUCUGUCUUGUAUCUCAGCCAAUUAUCAGGAAUGAGGACUUGUGCAUUAGUUAGUUGUUCUAUGUACAUCUAUUGAUAGCUCUCACUGUUGAGGGCUCACAGAGUAAUCUCAUCUUGGCAUUACAACCUCCCACUUCCUUUCUGAUAACUUUUGUUUUUUAAACAAUUUGCUUUAAAAUUGAUUCAAAUCUUUAUGAUUAAGGCCACCUUGGUCUUUUAUUGGCAGCUGCCCUAGGAAUCCAAGAAUUGGCCCAAGUAACCAUUUGCUAGAAAGGAAUAAAAGAGUCCCCUGAGGUGACUUGGGAAUCUCAAAACAAAUUUAUAAUUUUGAUGUGAGACCAAGAGAACUUAUCAACUCAAUUAAAAUUGCCCUAUGAUUAGCCUUCCCAUAGCCCUCUGAGUGGCCAGGUCCCAGAAAGGUCAAGCAGCCUCAAAGGAGCAUUUAAUAAAUAUUUUAGUUCCAAGAUAAUAUACAUUGCUGGAAAAGGGAAGAGAGCAAACCAGAGGCAAUAAGUAUAGCAUUCUAUUCUCUUUAGUGUCUUGGAAUCUUCAACAAAAGUUUGCCUUAUUUUGGCUAAGUAGAGAAAAUUUAUGAGCCAAGCGGGCAAUGGACAGCUGUCUAUGUAUUGUGAUUCAAUAGAAGGCUGGGCUGGGGCUCCGCCUCUAAAGUUAUAAUAUUUGCCUUCUUACUAUGGCAUCAUCUUUCUAUUGGGUUUUGGCUAGUGCACUCAAAUUGAGAACACAGCUUCACAGGCAGAACACAACACACAGAUGCAAGGUCUCCUGAUGGCAGAAAACCUUAUAACGUAAGAUAUGUGCUUGACAGAAAGAUUGUUGGUGGAUUUCUAAACCCCUAAUGCCAUACAUUGUAUUUUAUGAAUUCAAUAUCAAAUGCUAUAUUUGGAUUAUGGAUUGCAUAAAGGCCUGAACCUUCAGUAGGCACAGUAUCUUGUAGUUGAACGUAGCAGGCUCAGAAUAGAGAUAAAUAAUAAAGGAAUUCCACUGCUUCAAAAAGUAGUUUAAGAAACUGUACAUUGAAAAAGUAUGAUGAAGAAGUAUUUUAUGUUGGUUCAAAUGAUAUAGAAAUGGAAGUAUUGUCUUUUUAAAAUUGAUUUGCAUAGAAAACACACUCAAAUACCCUAACAGGGCCUUCAAAAGUAAUUUUCAUUAAUGUUAAUGAAAAUAAGAUUUCCUUUUUGAGUAUUUUAUAAUGAAACUCUCAUUUAAAAAAAAAUUUAGAAAAAUAACUAGGCCAAAUUUAAGUUGGGAUAUCACUUAAAUAAUUAAGUUUACAUUUUGAUUAACCAAAAUAACUAGAAUCUAUCAUUCUUACUCUAUUAUAAAGUUUUAUCUUAAUUUUCAUAAGGAAAAAAUUACUUGAAAAAGCAAUUUAUUCAUUUUCUUGGCUUCCAUCUAAGUUAUUAUUAUUAUUAACGAAUUUUUUUUUUUUUUUGAGAUGGAGUCUCACUCUGUUGCGCAGGCUAGAGUGCAGUGGCGCGAUCUCCGCUCACUGCAAGCUCCGCUUCCCAGAUUCACACCAUUCUCCUGCCUCAGCCUCUCUAGUAGCUGGGACUACAGGUGCCUGCCACCACGCCCGGCUAAUGUUUUGUAUUUUUAGCAGAGACGGGGUUACUCCGUGUUAGCCAGGAUGGUCUCGAUCUCCUGACCUCGUGAUCCACCUGCCUUGGCCUCCCAAAGUGCUGGGAUUCUGUAAUCCCAGUGAGCCACCGCGCCUGGCCCAUAAUCAACCUCAGCUGCCAACGCCAGAAUCAACCUCAGCUGCCAAAUGCUAGACUGAAAAAAGAAUGUAAACAGCUUGAUGGAGGGGAGGAUCCUGGUGCACCUGUGGUUUUGACAGCUUUUGCUGCUGCUUGAGGAGGAAACAGGUUGCCUGUUUGUUCUUCAAGAGCACUUCUGGCAUCCAGGUAUUAUGCAGGCAUGCACUGCCAGCUGUGAAAGAUGCCGCUUCCUUGUCACUUCAGAGAAUGAUGCUUCUACAGAAGAUCCCUCUUGCUAUUUCAUUCAGGGAGCUCGGGAGAGGAAGACAAAAAGAAUCAAAUGCAAAGCACAGAUCAUUGAAAGGGCCAGGGUCUGAAGUGAGACAACUCGUGUCACAGUGUUUUCAAACUUGAGAAUGGUACAGUAAAUUAGAAUGACUUAAUUGUAGUGAUUUUAAAAAGAUAUGAGUCCUCUAAUGGAUGGAUUAAAGAAAAGAAUAGCAAGAAAAUGCACAUAUACCAAAUUUUGACUGCCCGUGUGUUUAUACAGCCAAUGUUCUGUUCUGGUCAAGAAGAAAAGUAAGUAAGAUAACCUGUUUAUGUCAAGACAUCACAGAUGAGAAAAAAUAGAAUAUUAAAUCAUUGAGUCAACUUCAUAACUGAAAGUUUUUAACUGAAAUAUAUAUGCUUCACAGAUAAUCUAACAAUGUUGCAUGUAUUAUUUAUCUUAUGCUUACAUUAAAUACGUAUAUACCCUAAGGAAGAUUUCAAAAAUGAAAGUUUUGAAACAUGUUUCCUAUCAAUUAUUAAACUUAUUAUAAAACUUCAAUAGUUAAAAUAAUAUGGUUUAAUUGAUAUAAUGAAUCAGUAGAAGAGAUAUCAAACCUAAGACUCAAGAGUAUGAGAAUGUCAUGUAGAUAAAAAGGACAUUUCAAAUUAGUGGAAAAAGUGAAUUAUUCUAUAAAUUCUGUGAGUCAGUUGGAUAACUGUUAGGAAAAGAGAAAACCUAGAUCCCUACCUCAUUUUUAUUAAACUAAGUACCUUAUAUUAGGCUAAAGUAAAGAUAGGUGAAAGACUAAAAUAUACAAAUUAAAUAUAAUCACAAUAAAAUUGAGAAGAAAGCAUAAGUAAAUAUUUAAAAAACUUGAGUAACAAAGCUCAUUUCAAUAACGCCAUAAAAUUGGAAACAGCUCAGGAAAAGAUUUAUCAAUAUAAUUACAUAAACUCAUAGAACUUUUUAAAGACAAAAAGCAGCCUAUGGUAAAUUUGAAAGAAAAUGAAAAUUAAUAGAAUUACUUUUAAUAGUGUCAUUGUUAAAGCAUUCAUAUUUUAAUAUAUAAAAGCUCUUCAAAAUCAGUAAGGAUUAAAAAAUUGGUGAUCAUAAUAAAAAAAGGCAAGGGAUUUGAAAUAGGCAAUAGACAAAAGAGGAAACGUAAGUGGCUGGUAAACAUAGAUGAUAGAUAAAUGGAUGAAUAAGUAAUUAGGUAGCAUGUGGAUGCGUGGGGUAGGGGAGGGAAUGAAAGGGAAAAAGAGGGAAGACAAGGGAAGAAGGGAGGAAAAUCAAAAGGGAAGGGGACAAGAAAAGAAAAAAAAAUUAUACCAUUAUUCACUUAACAAAUUGGAAAAAGAUUUGGAGAAUGGACCACUCUUGUGAACUAAUAUACAAUAUAUUUUAAUGUUAAUUGUGCAUAGAUUUGACCCAGCAGUCUCAGUUCUGGAAAGUUACUCUAGCUAAUAUUAUAGCUAUAAAAAUAUUCACAGCAGAAUGCUUUAUAGUAGAAAUUAUAAUAAAGAAAACAACUUAAAUAUUCAUCAAGAUAUUAUUUAAUUGAAUAAUGGUUCUUAUUAUAAUUGGAUUUUAUAGUUCCACUCAAAUAAUGAUGUAGAAUUAAUUUAUUUGAAAACAUGCCCAGAACAUAUUGUUGAGUGGAAAAAAAUGAAGUUGCAGAACAGAAUAUAAGGUAUUUUUCUAGUUAUAUAUCCUUAUGUAUUUAUAUUAAUAAAACACCUAAAAGGAUUGUUACCAAACAACAUCAAUAGUGACUAUUUCUAGGUGGUAGCAUUUGAGGUAAUACAUCGUUUUACACUGGUACAUUUUUGGUAUUAUGUGACUUUUUCUAUUAGAGUAUACCAUUGUUACAAAAUGAAUAAAAGUUGUUUUCAAAAGAUAAAAAGCAUUUUGCUAAUUUUAAUUUUUAUUUGCUUCUUUUAAAUAUUUUUAAUCAUUGUACUUUUUACCUUGAGUAAAAUGAGAUGAAUGUCUAUGCAUUUUUAUUCUAGCAACAUUUUAUCUGGAAUUAUGUAGCCUGAAGGGAAAGCUCCAUACCCUUAUCUUUCUGUAUUUACUGAUUGUUCAUUCUUGGUAUAUUUGGCAUUUUAUUUAAUCUAUAAUUCAAAUAUACUCAGCAUAUCUCAUAAGAUUUGAUGGUCUAGUUUAUAAUUACUUUCAUUAUUGUAAAAUCUUGAUUUUUGUAGGUCAAUAAAUAGGGUUAAAAAUAAAUGAUU
rnacentral:lncRNA from 10 species